rnacentral:rRNA from 1 species
CCGGCACGGGUGAGUAACACGUAUCCAACCUGCCGUCUACUCUUGGACAGCCUUCUGAAAGGAAGAUUAAUACAAGGUGGCAUCAUGAGUCCGCAUGUUCACAUGAUUAAAGGUAUUCCGGUAGACGAUGGGGAUGCGUUCCAUUAGAUAGUAGGCGGGGUAACGGCCCACCUAGUCUUCGAUGGAUAGGGGUUCUGAGAGGAAGGUCCCCCACACUGGAACUGAGACACGGUCCAA